rnacentral:lncRNA from 1 species
GUGCCAGGAGGGGGAAGGAAGGAGGAAAGAGAAGGAGGGAGGAGGAAGAAGAAGGAAAAAGAAAAAGAACAGGAAAAAGGGGAGGGGAAAAGAGAAAGAAAAAGGAAGAGACCGGCGGCAUUCGCGGCACGCGGUCGGGGCACGCGCGCGGCGUCUGAAAACGGCACGCGGCGAGAUUUACGGGCACAGAUAAAAAGGUAGGGGUCGGCAUGGGUGCCGGGACGGCGAAAUCGCCGGGGAAGAUUUUGGAAUUCCGGGUGCUCAGCGGUAAAAAGAUUUUAAAGGCAAUUUUAACGGGUGUUGGUGAUUUGUGCGGAUGGUACAGGCUAUCUAAGUAACACUAAUUCGGAAUAAGUGAUAUAGAUGUGCUCAUCCGGAAAACUACAAUUGAAGUAUCACAAAUGAAAGUAACGUGGAUUUACCCAUACGGAAGACCAUAAUACAAGUUAUGUACAUAUCGUUCUUUUAGACGAGAACAUAUAUAUCUUCCAGCAUAUAACAAUAAUAAUUAGGAUAACAUCUAAAUUUGAUCAAAAAAU